rnacentral:rRNA from 1 species
GACGAACGCUGGCGGCGUGCUUAACACAUGCAAGUCGAACGGAAAGGCCCUGCUUUUGUGGGGUGCUCGAGUGGCGAACGGGUGAGUAACACGUGAGUAACCUGCCCUUGACUUUGGGAUAACUUCAGGAAACUGGGGCUAAUACCGGAUAGGAGCUCCUGCUGCAUGGGGGGGGUUGGAAAGUUUCGGCGGUUGGGGCUGGGCUCGCGGCUUAUCAGCGUGUUGGUGGGGUUGUGGCUGACCAAGGCUUUGAAGGGUAGCCGGCCUGAGAGGGUGACCGGCCACAUUGGGACUGAGAUACGGCCCAGACUCCUACGGGAGGCAGCAGUGGGGAAUAUUGCACAAUGGGCGGAAGCCUGAUGCAGCAACGCCGCGUGCGGGAUGACGGCCUUCGGGUUGUAAACCGCUUUCGCCUGUGACGAAGCGUGAGUGACGGUAAUGGGUAAAGAAGCACCGGCUAACUACGUG